rnacentral:rRNA from 1 species
CACGUAGGGCGCAAGCGUUGUCCGGAAUUAUUGGGCGUAAAGGGCUCGUAGGCGGUUUGUCGCGUCGGGAGUGAAAACUCAGGGCUCAACCCUGAGCGUGCUUCCGAUACGGGCAGACUAGAGGUAUGCAGGGGAGAACGGAAUUCCUGGUGUAGCGGUGGAAUGCGCAGAUAUCAGGAGGAACACCGGUGGCGAAGGCGGUUCUCUGGGCAUUACCUGACGCUGAGGAGCGAAAGCAUGGGGAGCGAACAGG